GAAUCUUCAAAAAGGAGGUUUUCACUUUUGUCGGAAGUCAAUAUUUCACGCUGCAGAAACAGAACAAAACUUUGAAGACUGUGGUACUGUUUGACGUGGUCGCAGUUUAAAAGGGAGAACGAGUGGACCCCGAGAACGAUUACACGCAUUCAAGACAUCGUUAGCCACAGAAUCACCCAAUCGCACGACACUUUCCAGACUGUGGUACUGUUUGACGUGGUCGCAGUUUAAAAGGGAGAACGAGUGGACCCCGAGAACGAUUACACGCAUUCAAGACAUCGUUAGCCACAGAAUCACCCAAUCGCACGACACUUUCCAGACUGUGGUACUGUUUGACGUGGUCGCAGUUUAGAAGGGAGAACGAGUGGACCCCGAGAACGAUUACACGCAUUCAAGACAUCGUUAGCCACAGAAUCACCCAAUCGCACGACACUUUCCAGACUGUGGUACUGUUUGACGUGGUCGCAGUUUAAAAGGGAGAACGAGUGGACCCCGAGAACGAUUACACGCAUUCAAGACAUCGUUAGCCACAGAAUCACCCAAUCGCACGACACUUUCCAGGUCAGGGUCUGAAUUCAACGGAAUAGAAUCUUGAACUUGUUUCUCUACACAGGGCACAUGCCUGCAGAAACUUUAUAGUUUGGAAAUACUCCUUUUUUGAAAAGUACACCUUUGUUUUUCCUAG